GAUGAACGCUGGCGGCGUGCUUAACACAUGCAAGUCGAACGAUGAAGCCCAGCUUGCUGGGCGGAUUAGUGGCGAACGGGUGAGUAACACGUGAGUAACCUGCCCUUGACUCUGGGAUAAGCCCGGGAAACUGGGUCUAAUACCGGAUAGGAGCGCCUGUCGCAUGACGGGUGCUGGAAAGAUCUUUCGGUCAUGGAUGGACUCGCGGCCUAUCAGCUUGUUGGUGAGGUAACGGCUCACCAAGGCGACGACGGGUAGCCGGCCUGAGAGGGUGACCAGCCACACUGGGACUGAGACACGGCCCAGACCCCUACGGGAGGCAGCAGUGGGGAAUAUUGCACAAUGGGCGAAAGCCUGAUGCAGCGACGCCGCGUGAGGGAUGACGGCCUUCGGGUUGUAAACCUCUUUCAGCAGGGAAGAAGCGAAAGUGACGGUACCUGCAGAAGAAGCACCGGCUAACUACGUG
rnacentral:rRNA from 1 species